GUACAAUUAUCAGUUAUAGACCUGAAACGAGGGGUAUUCCACAAAAAAUUUGUGGAAUACCCCGAGUGAAAGGUCUAUAAAUGGUAUAUUAUACCGAACCUUUCAAAAAUAA